CUUGCCAUGUAAAUACAGAUUUAAUUAACACUUAUAACCUAUGAAGAUGCAAAACCUUAAGUGUUAAUUAAACCUCUAUUUACAUAGCAAG
ensembl:miRNA